rnacentral:rRNA from 1 species
ACGUAGGGGGCAAGCGUUGUCCGGAAUUAUUGGGCGUAAAGGGCGCGUAGGCGGCCUGGUAAGUCUGGAGUGAAAGUCCUGCUUUUAAUGUGGGAAUUGCUUUGGAUACUGUCGGGCUUGAGUGCAGGAGAGGUAAGCGGAAUUCCCGGUGUAGCGGUGAAAUGCGUAGAGAUGGGGAGGAACACCGGUGGCGAAGGCGGCUUACUGGACUGAAACUGACGCUGAUGCACGAAAGCGUGGGGAGCAAACAG